rnacentral:rRNA from 1 species
GACAGAGGGUGCAAACGUUGUUCGGAAUUACUGGGCGUAAAGCGCACGUAGGCGGCUUUGUAAGUUAGAGGUGAAAGCCCGGGGCUCAACUCCGGAACUGCCUUUAAGACUGCAUCGCUUGAAUCAUGGAGAGGUUAGUGGAAUUCCGAGUGUAGAGGUGAAAUUCGUAGAUAUUCGGAAGAACACCAGUGGCGAAGGCGACUAACUGGACAUGUAUUGACGCUGAGGUGCGAAAGCGUGGGGAGCAAACAGGG